AAUAUAAGAUUUGAUUCAACAAAAGCUUUGCAUUAAAAUAAAUCUAAGAUUUGAGUCUGCACAAUCACAAAAAUCACUUAAUCAAAAAAAAAUGCUAUAAUCUAAAUUCAUCUAAAUUCAAUUGCUAAAUCUUUCUUAAAUUAAAGAAACGAAAGAAAUCAUCUUAAUCAUUUUUUCCUGACACGACUCUGAGAUCUUACUAGAUCCAGACUGUAUAAAAUCCACCAGCUCCAACAACGUUUGCCUCUUAAUCUCCCUCUCUCUCGCGUUCUUAAUCGUGUCAGUGAAAUCGAGUAGGAAACAUCAAUUCUGGAGUUUCCUCAAGAACAAAGAUUGCCUCUCUGAAAUCGGCACAUCCCUAAACAACGGGAGUACCUCCACGGAGCCCAUAGGCGGAGGUGGUGGAGUUGCAGUCACUGGCGAGUACCCCGUAACCCGAUCCGAGUUACAAUUACCGCCUCACUGAUCUCUUUUAUCGGCCAAAUUUCAGAAUUUCUCCAAUCUCUGCAACCAUCGGCGAUGGAUCCUCCUCCACCGCGAAACCCUAGCCAUGAUAAUUCCAAGUAUGAACCAAACACUACAUCAUCAAUUCCUCAAAGCGACGAAUCCUCAACGCUAACCGAAGUGUCAUCGAUGAAUCCUCCACCUCCCAGAAACCCUAACCUACCUGAUCUGAAGACAACGGAAUAAGUAGUAGAGCCCGAACCAAUGGAGGAAUCCAAGGACGAUUCCGUCGCUGUAGACGAAAAUAAACCAGUUCGUACCCGAACCGUGAAGCAGAAUCCAGUCCCCUACACUAUUCCAGAGUGGAGUGGCCCUCCGUCUCACCAAACAUAGGAGUUCGUUCCGAACAGAUAAGAUGGUAGUUGGCUAUCAAUCUUCUUUAGCACGAGUAGAUCCCUAUUCUUUUCAGCUUGAAGUUCUUAAAGAAGGCACCAUUGUUGACAAAUUAGACGUUUAUUCAGUACAAGAGAAGUGGAGCCGCGUAUAUAUUUGAUCUUGGAAGUACGCAUGGAACGACGAUUAAUAAGAAUAAGGUGUUUUAUUUGUGGAUUCAGUAUUUUGUAUUCUCUUGAUUGAGCUUUGAUUGAGUUUCAGAUUAGAAAAAAAAAAUGAGAGAGAAAGAAGGAUAAAGAUGGUUGCAGAGGAGACAAUGGCAUUUUAGAUCUAAGAAGAAGAGAGAAGGAUGACGAUGGUUGUAGAGAGGAUAUUUAGGUUUUAUUUUUCAGUUUUGUUUUUGCAGUAUAUUCUCCCACUUACUAUCAAAUCUGUUUUCUACUUUAAAUCCGACGGCCAGAAUUAAAACAUGUUCAGUUACUUUUUAACUAUUUUAGUUAAGCUUUUGUAGAAAAUCUGAGAGCAAAAUUGUAUUGAUUUUUGUUGUACAGUGAAAAAACCUAAAAAAAGUGUCUACUCCCA